UCAUAUAUGUACUGUAAUUAAUAUAAAAUAUUCAUUUAUGUUUAAGUGAAUAGUUCUCAUUCCAUAUCAUGACCUCAGGAACUAUCAACAAAUCUUUGGCUUAUAUACAUAAAGUCCCAAGUUAAAGAACUACUUGAGAUAGUGGUUAUAGAUUAGUUUCCAAACAGGAGUCACACUAUCUUAGUAUUUCAGUUAAUAUUCUGGCACCCAGAAUGGGCGGACCAGGUAGGUGUGCAUUUUCCCCUCUUAGCAGGUCUGAGGCGCAAUACUGGGUCUAGGAUUUAGUAAACAUACAAUAUCCCCAUGCCAAUCUUACAUGGGGAUCCUGGCUGGCACUUAAAUUCCCUAACAGUCCAUUUACUAAAACCUGGAGAUUAAAUACAUGGUCCCUUUGAACUUCAGAUUCUGAGGUACAUUUGGGGCAAAUGUAUUUAGAACUUAUUUAGGGCAAAUUUAUUUGGAAUCAUUACCUUUAAGGUUGUAUACCUUGAUUAAUUUAACAUAAUUUUCAACAGCAUUUAGAAUCUUGGAGCAUCCAGAGGCUAACUGAUUAUAAUUUAGAUGGACCUGAUAACUACAGAGGGCUUCUUAAAAGGAAAUUAACGUGAGUCACUGCUCUGUGAGAUUGAUGAAGAAAGCUGCUGGGUUCUGAAGUUUCCUUUCCUAAGAUUCGUCUGUGUGGCUUGCAGACAUGGUGACAAUUAACCAUUGAAACCUCAUGUCCCUCUGCUACCUGAGAACAGCACAUGUGCAUGUUCAAAUACUGGGGUGGCCGAGCGGGGCUUGGGGCGGUGGUUCACUUCUGCGCAGCAACCUUCUGCUGCGGUGGCGCUGAAAGGGCAGCGGGUGCCCAGGGAAUGUGGUCAGCAGGGGAGCUGCUGUUGCCCUGACUUGAGAGGUGCGUGGGGAUUCUCUUUCCGUUGGUUGCACCUGCCACAGGCUUCCUGGACCCCCGAAGAACAGAACAGCUUCUCUUUAAUUUUAAAAUACAACAGGUUGGAAAGUAUCCAUCGAGUCUAUUCUCAGACAUCUCUGAAGGUAAACUCGUGACACAUAAAGUGGUAACUACAUCAGAGUUAGAACAGUCUUCGAUGGACCUAGAUUCUUUUUUUUUUUUUUUCUCUCAUCAAAGUAUUUUAAUACCAGAAAAGAGUACACACCCAGUAUAGGGAAAAUGGGCAAAAAUAAUGAUGCAAUUCAAGUUACAAGAUAAGUAAGUUCUGGGGUGAAAUGUACAGCACAGUGACUCGAGCUAACAAUACUGCAUAUUUUAAGGUUUCUAAGAGUGGAGAUCUUACAAGUUUUCAUCAUAAGAAGAAAAAUUGUAACUAUGUGAGGUGAUGGAUAUUAACUAAAGUAACUGUGGGAGAUUCCGCUGCGGCACAUCUGGAUUGACGGAUUCUCUGCAGUGCCAGGAUGCAGGUUUGAUCCCCAGCCUGGCACAGUGGGUUAAAGGAUCUGGCAUUGCUGCAGCUGUGGAGCAGAUCACAACUGUGGCUCAGGUCUGAUCCCUGGCCCGGGAACUCCACAUGCUGUGCGGUGGCCCAAAAAGAAAAAAAAAAUGAGGUGAUCAUUUCAUAGUAUAUACACAUCUAUCAAAUUGUUCUGUGGUGUAUCUAAAUGAAUACAAUAUUGUAUGUCAAUUAUAUCUCAGUAAAAAACCAGAAUGACAAAAAUAAUUACGUAAAAAAAGGUAAAUGAUUCAGUUUGGUGUAUUUCUUUUGUGGCCAUUGCAUAAUGUACAUAUAUAACAUACAUUAUCUUUUAAGAAAGAUAAAAUUGGGCUCAUAGGAUAAAUAUCAUUUAUCCCUUUUUUUUCACUUAAAGCACUAUAAAUACAUUCCUAGGCCAUUGCAUAGUCUUGAUAUUAAAAAUAUGAUAUUUAAAUGAAUGCAUAACAUUUUACAGUAUGGGUACGCCAUAAUUUAUUUAACCCUAUUUCUAUUGUUGGGCAUUUUUAUUAUUUCCAAUAUUGUGGUCUAUUGAUUGUAGCAACAUUAUUAGUAAGAGCCAGUAUUUAUUAGUGCUACAUGUAUCGGGAACGGUUAUCCUCAUAAAAACUCUUAUAUGGUGUGGUAAAUCAGUCAGGGGUGAGACAGUUGUGGCCUCUGAACCAAAUCCAGCCUGCUGCCUGGUUUGGUAAGUAAAGUUACUGGAACACAGCCACUUCAUUGGUUGAUCUAUGGUCUAUGGCUGCUCUCUUGCUACAGUGGCAGAAUUGGUGAUUGCAACAGAGACUAUACGGUCAGCAAAGCCCCAAAUAUUUAGUAUUGGGCUCUUUAUAGAAAUAGUUUAUCAGCCCCUGGAUUGUAAAUAUUCCUUCCUUCCUCCUGCUCCACUCUCCCUGCCUCAGUGAUGUGGCACCCGGCCAUGUGACUCUCUGGCCAGUGCUUCUGAGUAGAGGUGACACAAAGUGUGCACUUGGACUUGGCUUCUUACACGUGAGGCACUGCCAGGAAAGGAACAGGCCCCUGGUAGUCCAUAGCCUGGAGCCAGUCCCAGCCUGGAAGAGUUGAACUUUAGCUGACCUACUGAUGUGUGAGUGAGAAAUAAAUGCUCAUUGAGUGUCAGUGAGUUUGGGGGGUAACUUGUUAUGCAGCAUCGUUGUGGUAACUGAUGAAUAGUGGACCCCUCCUUACUCCUGUAUCUCCUUAUAAGAACUCUCUGAGUGGGGACUACAGAUGGAGAAACUGAGAAACGGAUGGAGGUCAAAGCAAGUCAACACUAGUAAGAAAUGGGAAAAUGAGGCAACCUGGCUUCACUGUCGGUGUUUGUUCUAGUCUAUGGCCUAGUGUAUGAAAUACAUAAAUAUUUGUGCAUUUGCUUGAAUUUCUGACUAUUUCUUCAAUUUUCAGCAGGAAAAUUUCCAGGUCAAAAGGUAGACAGUCUUAAAAGGUUUAUAAUACAAAUUGUUACACCACUUUCCAAAAAGCUUGCAACAAUGAACAUUCACUGGUUUUUAUUUUUUUCUUUUUAGGGCCACAUCUGCGGCAUACGGGAGUUCUCAGGGCUAAGGGUCAAAUUGGAGCUACACCUGCUGGUCUACACCACAGCCACAGCCACACCAGAUCUGAGCUGCAUCUGUGAUCUAUGCCACAGUUGUAGCAACACUGGAUCCUUAACCCACUGAGCAAGGCCAGGAAUCAAAUCUACACCCUCAGAUACUAGUCAGGUUCUUAAUCCACUAAGCCACAAUGGGAAUUCCCAUUCACUGGUUUUUCAAAUACACUUUUUUUUUUUUUAACUUCCCCAGCAUCCAAUUUUACAGGCAAUUACAGUUUUAGUUUCAUUCACUGUUUUAGGUACAGUUUUAAGAUAGUGGCCUUGACUUUUUUUUUGCUUUUUUUUUAGGGCCACACCUGCAGCAUACGGAAGUUCUCAGGCUAGGUUUGACCCGGAGCUGUAACUUCCACCCUAUACCACAGCCACAGCAAUGCGGGAUCCAAGCCUUGUCUGUGACCUACACCACAGCUCACAGCAAUGUCGAUCCUUAACCACUGGGUGAGGGGGUUAAGGAUCUGAUGUUGCUGUGAGCUGUGGUGUAGGCCAGUGGCUACAGCUCCGAUUCGACCCCUAGCCUGGGAACCUCCAUAUGUCGAGGGUGCAGCCCUGAAAAGACAAAGAAAAAAGAAAAAGAAAAAAAAAAAAAAAGGAGCUACUGUAGUUGAAUACUUUUGGCCUGACCUAAGCACAGAGGAAUCUAAGAUGGGCUUUCAGGUUAUGUGAGUCCCAGGAAUGAGAAGCAUGGCCCAUAUCAGUCUCUCAGAGAACAGGAAGGUCACAGCAGCAUUCUUUCUUGGAGUGAGAACAUCACCAACAUCUAACAAUCCACUUUUCAGUUCAAUAGUAAAAUGUUGAUAGCUGCAGCAGUUUUUAAAUUAAGUAUUAUUUUAGAAUAGCCUAAAAAUCUGUUUGGAAUGAUAAGAUCCUAUUUUGAAACUAUUACAAAUCAUGCAAACCAGAUGGCCAUCUCUCAUUUUGGAAUUUCUCAGACAGGUGUUAAUCUAAAAUUGCCUUCGCCAUUUCUCUCUUAAAUUCCAAAGAAGUCUAAAAACAAAACAAAACGAAACCUAUCGAAAAUGCUUCAGAGACAGAUGACAGCUAUUUUGAUCAUAGGUUUUUUUUUUUUUUUUUUUUUUUUGGUGGCUGUGCUGGCUGGCACACGGAAAUUCCUGGGCCAGGGAUCGAACCCGAGCCACCACAGUGACCACGCUGGAUCCUUAACCCACUGUGCCACAAGGGAAUCUCCAGUCACAGUCAUAGCAAUUUUUACAAAGAAGGAAAGUAGCUGACAUGUAAAGAAAGUGCACUGAGACAGUUUCUAAGUGAAAAUGGUUUUGGCUGCCUGC
rnacentral:lncRNA from 1 species